UCGAACGAGACCUUCGGGUCUAGUGGCGCACGGGUGCGUAACGCGUGGGAACCUGCCCUUAGGUUCGGAAUAACUCCCCGAAAGGGGUGCUAAUACCGGAUAAUGUCUUCGGACCAAAGAUUUAUCGCCUUUGGAUGGGCCCGCGUUGGAUUAGCUAGUUGGUAGGGUAAAAGCCUACCAAGGCGACGAUCCAUAGCUGGUCUUAGAGGAUGAUCAGCCACACUGGGACUGAGACACGGCCCAGACUCCUACGGGAGGCAGCAGUGGGGAAUAUUGGACAAUGGGCGAAAGCCUGAUCCAGCAAUGCCGCGUGAGUGAUGAAGGCCUUAGGGUUGUAAAGCUCUUUUACCAGGGAUGAUAAUGACAGUACCUGGAGAAUAAGCUCCGGCUAACUCCGUGCCAGCAGCCGCGGUAAUACGGAGGGAGCUAGCGUUGUUCGGAAAUACUGGGCGUAAAGCGCACGUAGGCGGCGCCGCAAGUCAGGGGUGAAAUCCCGGGGCUCAACCCCGGAACUGCCCUUGAAACUGCAGUGCUAGAAUCCUGGAGAGGCGAGUGGAAUUCCGAGUGUAGAGGUGAAAUUCGUAGAUAUUCGGAAGAACACCA
rnacentral:rRNA from 1 species